GGCACUGCAGUGUGUGUGGAGAAUCACAGCACAAGAGGUUGAAGAAGAAGGAAGGUAGCCCCAUCACAUGCUGGACCAUCUAGCUAUCAUCCCUUAAUAAGAAACUGUAUACUAGGCUCCUGUGGGAUUUGGUGAGAAAUAGAACUCCAACUUAAUGUGGAAAAUUUAUAGGUGACAGAUUAACCCGGUGGCAGAAGGAACAUGAAGAUCACUGAUAAAGGAGUCUAGAUAAAGAAGAAUCCCCAGAAAGAGCACAGAGGAAAGGGAGGAUGGAAGAAAGAGACGUGUCUAUCUUCACGACAACAGGUUUUCCUGUGCGCUCUUUCCCCACCGGGACUAUCUGCAUUUGAGGGGAAAACACAUGAAAGUUGGAUUCUUUCUCACAACUACUGGAGUGAGCAGGAAGAACUAGGAGGGCUCCGGUGACACUGCUGCACCGAGACCGAAACUCCUGCUGUUCAUCAAAGCCACAGUCCUCCAAAAUCCUCUCGGGGAAACAAACACGGGAGCUGGACAGGGCGGGCUGGCUGGCCACGGCGGGCAGCGCAGGGCGGCUGUUGGCAAGGCCCUCCGCCUCCUCUGGCAAGCUGUCUCCUGGGGACCCAGGCGACUCAGCCUCGAAGACCACCAGAUCUUCGCCAGGAUCCGCUUGCUGCUCGCCCUGCAGCCGCAGGCGCUGCUGUUCGUGAAGGCUGAACUUCUCAAUGCAAUCAUCAAUGAGGCUGGAUGGGGCCUUCUUGUGAGUCACUACCACCUUGCCGCAGUACAGGACUUCGAACUUCUGAGAGUUGUAAAAGGCAUCCUCGUUGUCUUUGCUGGGUUUGGCAUCCUCUUUCAUGGCUGCUUUAGAUAACUGCCUUAUACUACUGAUUACAUCAGGAACCUGGGGAAAAAAUUGAAACACCUGUUCAGCGGAAUAUUCUCAGACGAUUUAUAUUUACCUAGACCUGCUAUUACCAUAUGAAAUGGAUUUUCACCCUAAAUGGUAGAAUAUAGGAAACAAUAAACCCUGCACAAGAUAAAGCAGAAACUUAAACUAUACUGUAUGACAAAAAAUGACUUCAAGGUAAAGUUGAAAUUCAAUGUAAGUUUAUUAAAAUUCAAACCUGGUAGGCUGAGACAAGAGGAUCACAAGUUCAAAGUCAGCCUCAGCAAUUUUGUAAGGCCAUAAGCAACUUAAUGAGACCCUAACUCAAAAUAAAAAAUAUAAAGGGCUGUGGAUGUGGCUUGUGAUUGAGUUCCCUGGUUUCAAACCUUGGUACCAGAAUAAAUAAAUAAAUAAAUAAAGAGAUUGAAAUAAUGAGAGAGUGAGAGAGAGGGGAGGGAGAGAGAGAGAGAGAGAGAGAGAACUUUAAUAUUUAUUUUUUAGUUAUCGGCGGAUACAACAUGUUUGUUUUGUAUGUGGUGCUGAGGAUCGAACCCGGGCCGCACGCAUGCCAGGCGAGCGCGCUACCACUUGAGCCACAUCCCCAGCCCCUACUAUAAACUUUUAAUAAAGCAUAAUAUAUCUUUUGAUAACUUCUAAAAGUUUUAAUGAGUUUUAACAGAAAGGAACCAAAGUUCCAACAAUGAGGAUAAAACAAACAUUCUGGAUAAAGAGAUUAAAACCCAACACACAGUGUUAGUCAUUAGGGAAGAUGCAAACUAAAACCACAACCAGAUACCACUACUGCUAUUAGAAAACCUAACAUCAAAAAAGUAAGUGCCAGCAAGGAUGUGAAGCAAGUGGAACUCUCAUACACUGUAUGCAGAAUGUAUAUAAAAUGACACAGUCUUUAAAAAGCCGUUUGGCAGUUUCUUUGGUAUUAAACAUAUAUCUACAUCACAACGAGCGGCCCUUCUACUCCUAGAGAUUUUUCUAAGAUUAGAAAAUAUACCCACACAAGGGCUAGUGUGCAAAAAUUCAUACCAACUUUGAUCACAAUACCAAAACACUGAAAACGACCCAAAUACCCAUCAAUAAGUGAACACAGAGAGCAAAUGUGAUACAUGCAUACAGAGUGACACCACUCAUCACCUCUGACCUGGUCUACUGCAGUACACUUUAACUAGGUUUCCUAGACAUCCCUCAAUCUCCUUUCAAAAGCCAAAAUGAUCCUUCUUAAACUUCUUGCAUGUUUCUUUAGAAAACCAAAGCAUGCCACCCCAAAAUAUGUCACAUUGGCAUGUCGAUUAUUUUGAAAUAACAGCAGGUGAGUUAUAGCAGAUGCAAUAAGGGCACUCUGACCCUCCUUUUCCUCCUGAAAGCAGAAGACAACUCCCACAUGAAAGAUGUCCCCCCAGAACUACAAGGAAGGAAGAGUUCAGGUCAAGAGUAACCUGCCAAACAAGCCACAUUAAAGUAGCCCAUCUCUUAGUCCCUUUUCCACAAUUAACCACCAUGUCCCAAACCCUUUGUCCUGGCUGAUUUUCAUAAUUUACUACUCUCUGUCUAACCUACUAUGAAAACAGUUACCCUGACUGCUUCUUUAGAUCUUUGUAUUUUCUUGUAAGGGGUCACAUGUAAAAUUUACUAAAUAAAAUUUGUAUGUUUAUCACAUGUUA